GUGAGGGACGUUUUCCCGGCUUGAGGGUCAUUGAAGGGUGAGAGCCGUGUUGCCGGUGGUGCGGGUCUGUAAAAGGUGAGGAGCCUGUUUCUGGAGCAGGAUAUAUGGAGGAUGAAUGACAUGGUUUCUGGGUGAGGUUAGCGCAGGAUGAGGGAAGCUGUGACGGAGCUGUGUCCUCUAAGGUAGGGGGCGUGGUCUCUGAGCAGGGUCCGCCAUUUUGUCUGGUGGAAGUUGGAAAUGGAGGGUCCAGGGACAAGCGAGACUCCCACUUCUGGCCUCAUCCUUAGCCCUGCCUUUACCCCACUUAUACUGCCAGAAAGCUGAGUGGUGGCAGUCACUUUAGGAUUCUUCCUGAGACGAUCCACCAAUAUGAAGUAAACUCGAGGAGGAGGAGCCCAGCCAUGGUGGCUGAGCCCCAGGUUUUCCAGUGUCUACACUCAGGGUUAUCUCCCCGCUGGAACAGGGAAAAAUGCAUGGGUCAUUGCUCUGCCAGGACCUCCCUGCACGGAUUCUCAGGUCAAGACAAAGCAUAAACAAGUAACCCCAACAGAAAAAUCUUCUGAAGAACAAUUACAAGGAGUAACUCAAGAAAUUUUCCCAAGAGGCAAUCCAGAGGAGUUUGAGUUUCGAUCAGCUUGCGGGAAUGAGACAGAAGCAGAACAUUACUGGAAAAAAUUCACAAUAAAGAGCAGGAUGAAGUUAUUUUCCCAAAAGAGAGGUUUGAGGCAAGUGGUCAGCUCCUGCUUCAAAACCAAUGCAGCAGAGAAAUACCAGAAAUGUAACAAAUUGGAGAAAAGUUUGUGUCUGGGCACAAAGCCUUUUGUACCUCUAAGGGACAGGCCAGGAGAGAGAGCCAGUGGUUGGAGGUUGGGUGGCUGAAGCUUUCCAUGUGAGUCGUGUAUGAUUAGACAUCAGGCAGUUACCAGUGGGUCAAAGCUCCAUGGAUGUCAUGUGUGUGGGAAAUCUUUCAACAAGAACUCACGCCUUACUUGGCAUCAGAUAAUUCAUACUACAGAGAAGCCCUACGUAUGUAUCAAAUGUGGGGAAAAACCACAACUCAAGCCUUACACAACAUCAGAAAAUAUCACUGUGGAUGGUGAAAUCCUGUCUCUACUAAAAAUACAAAAAUUAGCUGGGUGUGGUGGUGCAUGCCUAUAAUCCUAGCUACUCAGGAGGCUAAGGCAAGAGAAUUGCUUGAACCAGGGAGGCGGAGGUUACAGUGAACUGAGAUUGUGCCCUUGCACUCUACACUGGGUGACAGAGCAAGACUCCAUCUCAAAAAAAAAAAAAAGAAAAUUCAUGGUGGAGAGAAACCCUGUGUGUAGUAAUGUGGCAAGGGCUUUUAGGGAGACAUGAAAGCUUGUUAAAUAUCAGAGAAUUCAUACUGGAGAAAAGCCGUAUAGGUGGAAUGGAUGUGGCAGAGCCUUUAGUGGGAAUUCAAACCUUAUUAAACACCAACUGAUAUAUAUUGGAGAGAAGCCCUAAAAAUGUAAUGAGUGUGGGAAAGCCUUUAAUCCAAAAGCAAAUCCCAUGCAGUAUCAGAGAAUUCAUACAGGAGAGAAACUUUUUUUUUUGUCUUUUUUUUUGUGCCACAACUCGGAUACGGAGAGAAACUUUUUGAAUGUAAAGACUGUGGAAAAAGUUUCAACCAGCCAUGACACUUGAUUCAUAAUCAAAGGCUGUAUUCUUGAGAGAAGCCCUAGAAAUGCAAUGAGUGUGGAAGGGGCUUCAAACAUCACACCUGAUUGAUCACCAAAGAAUACACACUGGAGAGGAAACUUACAUGUGUGUUAUGUGUGGGAGAGGCUUUAUUCAGAUGUCAUACUUAAUUCAUCACCACAGAACACAUUUCUGUAGAGAAGCCACAUGCAUGUAGUGAAUGUGGGAAAUGGUUCAACCAGAGCUCAACCCUUAUUAGACAUUAGGUUAUUCACACUAUGGAUACCAAGUAUAAGUUAAAGAAUCUGGACAGGCUUUCAUUGUGAGCUAGCUUCUCAGUCACUAUCUCACAAAUCCUAAUUGAUAGGAACCCCUCACUUCAUACAGGAGGGAAAAGCAUCCAAGAAUGCAACAGAGGUGGGAAGCCUUUCAUUGUAAUUCAUUAUACAAUGUCUGGAAGUUCCUAUUGGAGAAAACCCCCAUGGAUGUAAUGAAUGUUGAAAAAGCAUUUAUUUGGAACUCACAUUAUUUACAACGAGAUGAUUCAUACAGGAUAUAAUGGAUAUAAGCGAGGCUUUGGUGUACUAUGGGAAGUAGGUGGAAAUGUGGGUUCCUGCUGUUGCCAGCUGCUCCCUUUUGAAUAAAGUGCCCUAGCAGGUGCUUGCCUCAGG